rnacentral:rRNA from 1 species
ACGUUACCUCAAGAAGAAGCACCGGCUAACUCUGUGCCAGCAGCCGCGGUAAUACAGAGGGUGCAAGCGUUAAUCGGAAUUACUGGGCGUAAAGGGUGUGUAGGUGGUAAUGUAAGUUAGGUGUGAAAUCCUCGGGCUUAACCUGAGAACUGCGCUUAAUACUGCUUUACUAGAGUACUGCAGAGGGUAGUGGAAUUUCCAGUGUAGCGGUGAAAUGCGUAGAUAUUGGAAGGAACAUCAGUGGCGAAGGCGACUACCUGGAUAGAUACUGACACUGAGACACGAAAGCGUGGGUAGCAAACAGGAUUAGAUACCCUGGUAGUCCACGCUGUAAACGAUGAUAACUUGCUGUUGGAUGCAUAAAAGCAUUUAGUAGCGGAGCUAACGCGUUAAGUUAUCCGCCUGGGGAGUACGGUCGCAAGAUUAAAACUCAAAGGAAUUGACGGGGGCCCGCACAAGCGGUGGGGCAUGUGGUUUAAUUCGACGCAACGCGAAGAACCUUACCUACUUUUGAAUCCAUGGAAUCUGGCAGAAAUGUCGGAGUGCCUUC